UGGGGUAUAUUGGACAAUGGGGGCAACCCUGAUCCAGCCAUGCCGCGUGCGGGAAGAAGGCCUUCGGGUUGUAAACAGCUUUUGUCAGGGAAGAAACGCGCUGGGAUGACACCCCGGCGUAAUGACGGUAACUGAAGAAUAAGCACCGGCAAACUACGUGCCAGCAGCCGCGGUAAUACGUAGGUGGCAAGCGUUGUCCGGAUUUAUUGGGUUUAAAGGGUGCGUAGGCGGUCCUAUAAGUCAGUGCUGAAAUAUCCCGGCUUAACCGGGAGGGUGGCAUUGAUACUGUAGGACUUGAGUAAAGUUGAGGUAAGCGGAAUUGACGGUGUAGCGGUGAAAUGCUUAGAUAUCGUCAAGAACACCUAUUGCGAAGGCAGCUUACUAAGCUUUAACUGACGCUGAGGCACGAAAGUGUGGGGAUCAAA
rnacentral:rRNA from 1 species